rnacentral:rRNA from 1 species
GCAACUGGUUGGCUAGAGUCUUGUAGAGGGGGGUAGAAUUCCAUGUGUAGCGGUGAAAUGCGUAGAGAUGUGGAGGAAUACCGGUGGCGAAGGCGGCCCCCUGGACAAAGACUGACGCUCAGGUGCGAAAGCGUGGGGAGCAAACAGGAUUAGAUACCCUGGUAGUCCACGCUGUAAACGAUGUCGAUUUAGAGGUUGUG